AUCCUGGGAGGGGAAUGGGCUGAUGGCCUGUCUUUUGGACCCUCGGAGGGAAGAGGGGGCUGCAAGCCUGGGACUCUGGGUCCAGCUCACCACUCCUCCUCCAUUUCCCAACAAGAUAACACGUAUUCAUUCAUCCUUUCAACAAACAGGCAUUUAUCAAGCCCUGCCGGUGCCAGGCACUGUGCUGGGCUGCCAGGUCUGAAGGAGGGUUGGAGGAGGCAAAGAUGGAGAUGAACGGAACAGCGAGUGAUACAAGCUUGAGAGUGUUCCCGCACUCCCUGAUAGAGCCUGACUCCCGCUUUCCCUUGGUUGCCUGGGCAACCAAUUCUCUCUGCUCGGAGCCUCAGUUUCCCCCUUUAUGCCCAGAUCCUCAGCACGCCUGUCCUGACACUCUGGACUACUCCACUCUGUCUGAAGAGGCACCCCCACGUGGCUGCUUGCAGACCUUCAGUGGUGAACCUGCUGCCUUCUCUCCUGGACUAACUAGGAAGGGAUGUCUUUCUCGCCCCCCUUCUGCCUCUCCAGCCCCCAGCCACGCCCCAGAGCUGCCAAGAUUUAUAGCUGCCCUUUCCUAUUUUUCUUUCAAAUUCUAAUAAAUUCUAAUAAAAUGAUUCCUAAGCUUC